rnacentral:rRNA from 1 species
AGAGUUUGAUCCUGGCUCAGGAUGAACGCUAGCGGCAGGCCUAACACAUGCAAGUCGAGGGGCAGCAUUUCUAGCUUGCUAGAAGAUGGCGACCGGCGCACGGGUGCGUAACGCGUAUACAAUCUACCUAUUACUGAGGUAUAGCCCGAAGAAAUUUGGAUUAAGCCCUCAUAGUAUUAUAGAAUCGCAUGAUUUUAUAAUUAAAGGUUACGGUAAUAGAUGAGUAUGCGUCCUAUUAGCUAGAUGGUGAGGUAAAGGCUCACCAUGGCUACGAUAGGUAGGGGUCCUGAGAGGGAGAUCCCCCACACUGGUACUGAGACACGGACCAGACUCCUACGGGAGGCAGCAGUGAGGAAUAUUGGACAAUGGGCGCAAGCCUGAUCCAGCCAUGCCGCGUGUAGGAAGACGGCCCUAUGGGUUGUAAACUACUUUUGUACGGGAAGAAAUCUUUUUACGUGUAAAAAGUUGACGGUACCGUAAGAAUAAGCACCGGCUAACUCCGUGCCAGCAGCCGCGGUAAUACGGAGGGUGCAAGCGUUAUCCGGAAUCAUUGGGUUUAAAGGGUCCGUAGGCGGGCUGAUAAGUCAGUGGUGAAAUGCAGGGGCUUAACUCCGGCACUGCCAUUGAUACUGUUAGUCUUGAAUUAUUGUGAAGUGGUUAGAAUAUGUAGUGUAGCGGUGAAAUGCUUAGAUAUUACAUAGAAUACCAAUUGCGAAGGCAGAUCACUAACAAUAUAUUGACGCUGAUGGACGAAAGCGUGGGUAGCGAACAGGAUUAGAUACCCUGGUAGUCCACGCCGUAAACGAUGGUUACUAGCUGUUCGGUACGAUUGAGUACUGAGUGGCCAAGCGAAAGUGAUAAGUAACCCACCUGGGGAGUACGUUCGCAAGAAUGAAACUCAAAGGAAUUGACGGGGGCCCGCACAAGCGGUGGAGCAUGUGGUUUAAUUCGAUGAUACGCGAGGAACCUUA